UACGGAGGGUGCGAGCGUUGUCCGGAAUCACUGGGCGUAAAGGGCGCGUAGGUGGCGCAGGAAGUCAACGGUGAAAGUUCGGGGCUCAACCCUGAAUCGGCCGUCGAUACUCCUGGGGCUCGAGCACUGUAGAGGCAGAUGGAAUUCCGGGUGUAGCGGUGGAAUGCGUAGAGAUCCGGAAGAACACCGGGUGGCGAAGGCGGUCUGCUGGGCAGU
rnacentral:rRNA from 1 species